rnacentral:rRNA from 1 species
UACGUAGGGUGCAAGCGUUGUCCGGAAUUAUUGGGCGUAAAGAGCUUGUAGGCGGUUUGUCGCGUCUGCUGUGAAAUUUCGGGGCUCAACCCCGAACUUGCAGUGGGUACGGGCAGACUAGAGUGUGGUAGGGGAGACUGGAAUUCCUGGUGUAGCGGUGAAAUGCGCAGAUAUCAAGAGGAACACCUGCGGCGAAGGCGGGUUGCUGGGCCGACACUGACGCUGAGGCGCGAAAGCUAGGGGAGCGAACGGG